rnacentral:rRNA from 1 species
GACGAACCGUGCAAACGUUAUUCGGAAUCACUGGGCUUAAAGGGCGCGUAGGCGGGCCGCCAGGUCCGGGGUGAAAGCCUCCAGCUCAACUGGAGAAGUGCCUUGGAUACCGGCGGCCUCGAGGGAGGCAGGGGCGUGCGGAACUUCGGGUGGAGCGGUGAAAUGCGUAGAUAUCCGGAGGAACACCGAAGGCGAAGGCAGUGUCCUGGCUGGUGACUGACGCUGAGGUGCGAAAGCUAGGGGAGCGAACGGG